UACGGAGGAUGCGAGCGUUAUCCGGAAUUAUUGGGUUUAAAGGGUCCGCAGGCGGACAGGUAAGUCAGUAGUGAAAAACCUGGGCUUAACCCCGGUCGUGCUACAGAAACUGCCUGACUAGAGAAAGUUUGGCGUUGGCGGAAUGUGACAAGUAGCGGUGAAAUGCAUAGAUAUGUCACAGAACACCGAUAGCGAAAGCAGCUGACGAAGACUAUUCUGACGCUCAGGGACGAUAGCGUGGGGAGCAAACAGG
rnacentral:rRNA from 1 species